AUGCAGUCGAGGGGUAUUGGUUUUCGGACCAAGAGACCGGCGCACGGGUGCGUAACGCGUAUGCAAUCUACCUUUUACAGAGGGAUAGCCCAGAGAAAUUUGGAUUAAUACCUCAUAGUAUUAUGACUCGGCAUCGAGAUAUAAUUAAAGUCACAACGGUAAAAGAUGAGCAUGCGUCCCAUUAGCUUGUUGGUAAGGUAACGGCUUACCAAGGCAACGAUGGGUAGGGGUCCUGAGAGGGAGAUCCCCCACACUGGUACUGAGACACGGACCAGACUCCUACGGGAGGCAGCAGUGAGGAAUAUUGGUCAAUGGGCCCAAGCCUGAACCAGCCAUGCCGCGUGCAGGAUGAAGCAUCUAUGGUGUGUAAACUGCUUUUGUACGAGAAGAAACACUCCUACGUGUAGGAGCUUGACGGUAUCGUAAGAAUAAGGACCGGCUAACUCCGUGCCAGCAGCCGCGGUAAUACGGAGGGUCCAAGCGUUAUCCGGAAUCAUUGGGUUUAAAGGGUCCGUAGGCGGUUUUGUAAGUCAGUGGUGAAAGCCCAUCGCUCAACGGUGGAACGGCCAUUGAUACUGCAAGACUUGAAUUAUUAGGAAGUAACUAGAAUAUGUAGUGUAGCGGUGAAAUGCUUAGAGAUUACAUGGAAUACCAAUUGCGAAGGCAGGUUACUACUAAUUGAUUGACGCUGAUGGACGAAAGCGUGGGGAGCGAACAGGAUUAGAUACCCUGGUAGUCCACGCCGUAAACGAUGGAUACUAGCUGUUCGGGAGCAUCUGAGUGGCUAAGCGAAAGUGAUAAGUAUCCCCACCUGGGAGUACGUUUCGCAGAAUGAAACUCAAAGGAAUUGAC
rnacentral:rRNA from 1 species